rnacentral:lncRNA from 1 species
GAGCAGUUUCUUGUGUGUAGAGUCAGUGAAGAUUGUAUAGGAGUUAGAACUUUGGCAAAUACAGAACACAACCAAUAUACUGACGUAGGGGUUGAAAAUAAUUUACAAAAUUAAUUUAAUAAAAUGCCUAAAACAGUAACUAACAAUUAUUAACAAAAUAACAACAAAGUAUCCAUACAAUAAAAAUUAAUGUUCACAUUGAGGACCUAAAGUUAUGACAACACCUCUACUGCCUUCUAAAUACCCUUUUACUUUAAGUUCUCGGUUGUGUUGAACACAGCUCUUUGUGGCCUAAUAAGAUGUCAACCAAAAUACCCAGAGGAUUUCUAAAAGCACACAACAUUUCCCGUAGCACGCCGGAUAAAAUAAUUUAACACAUUUAUUUCAACAAAGGCCUGUGGUUACUAACACCGAACUAGAGAGUAGUUUUUUGUUUUUUAAUUUCUAGUACUAAUUGUGGUUCUUAAAGGUAUCUACAGUUCAUAUUUGACUUGUCAUGCUGCUCCUUAAAGGAACAAUAUGUUUAUGCUGAAAGUUUGACUGUAAUUCACCCCUAAAAUUUAUUUUAUGUGGAAAAGGUUCAUCAUAAAAAAAUAGCUACUACUUAUAUAUGUCAAGAUUGAUUCAACUACAUUUUGUAGAACAAGCACAGAUUUUGAUAUCAGACGAGCUGGGUUUCAACAUCUAACUUUACACUGUGACCCUGGGAACAUUCCAUACCUUCUUGGAGCCUCACUUCCUGAACUACAAAAUGAGAACCUCACCACAGUUCUCAAAGGGUAGCAUAAAGUUUAAAAAGAGCGAGUGCAUGUGCCUAGUCCUGGGCUAGGCAUAAUGUAGUAUACCAGGUGUUAAUGGUUUUUCUCCUCUCUUUCCCAUUCCUGAUAUAUUUUGGCUAAUUGGAGAUUAGUGAAAAAAUAUAGAAAUUGUUACUGGAAUAAAUCAGCUCCACUAAAAAGCUCAUUAUAUUGCAGGCAAUAGUUAUGCAUUUCCAAAGUAACAUUCAAUAAGAUCAAAAUAAUGGUUUUGAAAAUGUAUUUACAUAUUAAUAAUUAAUAUGCAAGAAAAGAUUUUUCGGGGGAACAAGGACAAAAGAAACAAAUACGCAACAUCUGUGUGCAUAGGUUAAUUUUGUAAAAAUGAAGAAAAAUACCCCAUUUUGUUAAACGUUGGAUGCUCAUGGACAGGCCACAGAAACAAAGCUACUUCAUACAGCAAUCUGCAUCAUCAAAAAAUAUCAAAAUAGAGUUUCUCUAAAGGAAAGAGCCUUUUGAAUGGGGUUAAUAAUAAUUAGAAGUUCCCAUUAUUUGUCCAUAAAACUUCCUAGAAAGGUGCUACUUCAAACAGGAUUCUAGUAGAACUUGGCACAUAAAUUUUAACUUUUCAACCACCCACUACUUUUCACCUUCUUGUAGCUUCACUCACUCAGACAAUCUCUCAUAUACAUACAUUAAUAUUAAAAACACACGUGGCUUUAAAGCAGAAUAUUCAUUUUCUACAACAAAAGCAGGUCAUCAUAUUUAUACCCAAUGUUCUCAGUCAUGAAAAUGGAUUUUCGUCAUAGGGCUGCUAAUUAACAUACACUAUUAGGUUCAGCAUUUCCAAAGGUAUGUCUCUAGGAGGAUCUGUUUGAUCAUGUGCAAGAAUUCUAAGGCAUUAUAAGUAGUUGUUCCACAGGACAAGUGCUGCCCUUGAUAUACUCUUGAUACAUUUAACAAGUC